CCGUCGGCGAUGAUCGAUGCGGUGAACAAGUGAAACGACGCGUUCCAAGUACGAUCGGCGGAGGUAUUUCAGGAUUUCGUGAAUCGAUUUGCGAGAGAAAGGGAAAAAAGAAGAGUCACGGUCGACGUUUUUCCCCGCGCGUCAGAAAAUCCGGCCGUUUGUAAACAGAGAGAGAGAGAGAGUCUGGACGAGUGACGAAACGAGCAGACGCUUCUACUCGCUUUUAUCGACGACGAUCGUUCGAACGUGCGAAUCUUGUGCGAAGAAAAACGUAAUCCGACCGGCCGAGUGCAGCGUUGGCGAGACGCGGAGGCAUCGACGGAGGAGGAUGUGCAGGAGGUCGGCCUGGUGAUACAGCCUGGUCGAUGUCUUCCGGGCGACGGUCACGUCACGGACGGGAUGCGAGACACGAGCCACGUGAAUGUUGUACGCCGUUGAACCUUCCUUUCCGCCAGGCGAAUUAUUCUGGACCGGCAUGGAACCCGUGAAAGCCAAAAUGGCUCCUACAGGGAUGCCCCCAGUCACCGGUGUUCUACAGCCGCCCACGGGAUCGACUCUGUCAGGGAGCACGAUCGCAAACUACAAGAAAAGCUGGUGGAGAAGAGUGGCCUCCUGCUUGGCGUUUCUCGCCGCUUUUUCCACUGCCAUGUCCUUGCUCCUGGUUUGGAGCGAGGCCGCGGCCUUGAGGAGGCAGGCGUUCGACGCCAACAUGACCAGGGACUACGUGUUGAACAGCGUCUCGAUGGACAACCCUGAAUUAGUCGCGUACAUCAGAGAAGUUCAAUUGAAGCCAACGACGCAGCAGGAUCCGUCGAACGCCACUCAAACCACGGAGGAGAGGUACGUGGCGGGUCUGACCGAGGGAAAACGCGAGGGCGUGUACGUGGAGUACAUCAGCAGGAUAGGUGCCAUUUCCAGUACGGGCUGGUUGGAACGUAACUUAAGUUGGAGAGGCGUUCUGAUCCUGACCGAUCCCAGAAGCUUCUUCGAGGCGCACAGAAGCACCAGAAAUCCAAAGACCAGAGUUCUUCACGCUUGCCUCAGUACCGACAAGGAUACCAAAGAAAUUACCUAUCAUCAAGAAUCCGAGGUUCAAGUUACCAAGUUGGGCGAAGGGCCGAAUAGCCUUGUGUCGUCGGACGAGGGUUUGCCGACCACGAGAUUGAAAUGCUUCCCUUUGUACAGCGUUUUAUUGGCGUACAGUGCCACUACCUUGGAUUACCUGAGUCUAGAUAGUCCGGAUGCGCAAGACAGUCAGGUUCUGGAUACGAUCCCCUGGGAGACGACCAGGAUAUCCGUAGUGUCUAUCCGCUGGAGUCCUCACCACAGCGAAACCGAGACGAAAAGCCUGAUCGAUAAGAUGACUAGCAGACGAUACAAGCUGAUGUACACGACCGACACCGGCAACUUGAUCUUCUCGUACAACGCGUUGCUUAAGAUUUGAACUUGCUUGACUAGGCUCGCUUUCCACCGACACAGGACCGUUCUACGUUCCUUCGUGCGUUUUUAAACAAAC